rnacentral:rRNA from 1 species
UACGUAGGGUGCAAGCGUUGUCCGGAAUUAUUGGGCGUAAAGAGCUCGUAGGCGGUUUGUUGCGUCGGCUGUGAAAUCCCGAGGCUCAACCUCGGGUCUGCAGUCGAUACGAGCAAACUAGAGUGUUGCAGGGGAGACUGGAAUUCCUGGUGUAGCGGUGAAAUGCGCAGAUAUCAGGAGGAACACCGAUGGCGAAGGCGGUUCUCUGGGCAUUACCUGACGCUGAGGAGCGAAAGUGUGGGGAGCGAACAGG